rnacentral:rRNA from 1 species
UACGAAGGGGGCUAGCGUUGCUCGGAAUCACUGGGCGUAAAGGGUGCGUAGGCGGGUCUUUAAGUCAGGGGCGAAAUCCUGGAGCUCAACUCCAGAACUGCCUUUGAUACUGAGGAUCUUGAGUUCGGGAGAGGUGAGUGGAACUGCGAGUGUAGAGGUGAAAUUUGUAGAUAUUCGCAAGAACACCAGUGGCGAAGGCGGCUCACUGGCCCGAUACUGACGCUGAGGCACGAAAGCGUGGGGAGCAAACAGG